rnacentral:rRNA from 1 species
GAUGAACGCUGGCGGCGUGCUUAACACAUGCAAGUCGAACGAAGCACUUUAUUUGAUUUCCUUCGGGACUGAUUAUUUUGUGACUGAGUGGCGGACGGGUGAGUAACGCGUGGGUAACCUGCCUUGUACAGGGGGAUAACAGUUGGAAACGGCUGCUAAUACCGCAUAAGCGCACAGCAUCGCAUGAUGCAGUGUGAAAAACUCCGGUGGUAUAAGAUGGACCCGCGUUGGAUUAGCUAGUUGGUGAGGUAACGGCCCACCAAGGCGACGAUCCAUAGCCGACCUGGGAGGGUGACCGGCCACGUUGGGACUGAGACACGGCCCAAACUCCUACGGAAGGCAGCAGUGGGGAAUAUUGCACAAUGGGCGAAAGCCUGAUGCAGCGACGCCGCGUGAGCGAAGAAGUAUUUCGGUAUGUAAAGCUCUAUCAGCAGGGAAGAUAAUGACGGUACCUGACUAAGAGGCACCGGCUAAAUACGUG